GGGGCAGUCGGGGUUGGGGGUGGGGGGAGGGUGGUGUUAGGACUCAAUGAUCUGACAGGAGCUCACGGAGGAAGGAACGCCUGAGAGGUGAGGCUGGCAAGGCUGGGGCCAGAGGCAGACCCAUCUGGACUUUGGACUUUACCCUGAGGACCACUGAAGGGGUUUAGGCAGGGGAGGGAGCAGGUCAGAUGUACUUGUCAGCAAGAUCCCUCUGGAUCCCUGGGGCAACUAGCUUGUGGUGAGACAAGAGCGAAGGCCAGAGACCUUCGGAGGCCUUGGGUUGAUAAGGGGUAGCCUGUGGCGGAGAAGAGGGGGCCGAAGGAGGUGUCCUGGAAGAAUCUGGAGCCUGGCUGGCCUGGGGUGGGGGAGGAGGAGCGUCAGGAAGGCGUGAGGUAUGGCGGAGUCGCAGGAGGGGUGAGGGGCUCUGCUGAAGCCUUGGUGAAUUUCCUUCCCGUCCCCAGCAGGCUCUGCAUGGGUCUAAGAAGAGCUUCUGGGUGGUUGGACCUGAGGAGGACAGGCUGAGCUGGUCCUAGGGGGUUCCAGGAGGUGGGGAUGGUCACUCAUUUAUUUGACAAAUAAAAUUUAUGGAGCACCUACCUGUCUGGGGGUUGUUCCAGGAACUGGGGAUACACUGGUGGGCAAAACAGACCUAGCGGGGAAGACGUAAAUAAAUAUAUAUAAAGUAGUGAUAAGUCUUAAGAAAAACUAAGCUGGGAAGCAAGUAGUGAGCGACGGUGGUGGAGGGGAGUCUGUUUCAGAGAGGGUGGUCAGGGAAGGCCUCUUUGAAGAGGUGAGUCCUGAAUAAAAUGAAGGAAUUAGGCACCGAGAUAGCUGGGGGAAAGUGGUCCAGGUGGAGGGCAUAGCAAGUGCCACGGCCCUGAGGCAGGCAUGUGCUUGGUGUGCCAGAGAUGCUGCCCUCAGGAACAUGUCCUUCAUUCACUCAGCAGUCCCAAUGACUGUGGCCAGGGGUCCAGAGGCUGGGAGCUGAGGAAAAAGUAGCUGUGGCCCCCGAGUCCCACCCUGGAGAGAAAGCCCAGCCCCCACUUGGGGCACCUCCAGGCCCUGAGCCCCAGAUGUGUGUGGUCAAGCCUGGGCUAAAGCAAGCCCGGCGUCCUUUGGGAGCUGACCAAGCGGUCUCCAGGAGCUGGGGCCGGCCUUUCUCAAAGCCUCCUUCCUCCCCUCGUGCCCCCAUGGUUGAGGGCUGGCUCCGUGGUCUUGGGUCCAGCUCAGGCUGUGGCAUCAGCCGGCACAGCCGCGCGUGCUGGACGAGGGCUGGGCUGGAGGCCGGAGAGCUGGUCCUCGCCCCGGCCAGCCGUGGCUCAUUCUGUAGCUCCAGCCCCCCUCCCCCUGAGGGCCAGGCUGGACGAAUGACGGGCGUCUCAAAGGCAUGUCCAACAGGGAGCUUUUGAGACCCCCCAAACUGCCCCUCCCCUGGGCGUCCCCCAACGUGGCCACUCACAGCUGCUCCUUCCCGAUGAUCUGGCAAAACCUUAGCCUCAUCGUUCUAGCUCGCGCCCAGCAUCCAGUACGUCAGGAAGUGCUGUCAGCUCUGCCCUGGGAUCUGAAGCCUUCGCCCCACUUCCUGCCUACGACCUGAUCUAACCAACAUCAUUGCUCAGUGGAUUCUUACAGUAGCCUCUGCGGUCGCCCCUUUCAUUCUAUUCCCAGCACAGCAGCCAGAGUGAUUUUAUUAAACAAUAAGUUAGAUCACAUCACUUGUCUGCUCCCCUGUCAAUCUGAGGAAAAGCCACAGUCCUUUAUGACGGCCCCUGUACCAUCUGCAUCCCCUCCCCCCACCUCCCAGGACACAUUCGGCUCCAGUCACACUGGUCUCCUUGUUCUUUGCAUACACAACACACAUGCCUGCCUCAGGGCCUUUGCACGUGCAGUUCCUCUUCCUGUAAUGCUCCCUUCCCCCCAAUAGCUCCAUGGUUUGCUCCUCGCCUUCUUCAGGUCUUCACUCACCUACUACUUCCUCAGACAAGCUUUCAUUAACCACCAUAUUAAAAAUUAUAGGGCAUACCAAGUGCCCAGACCUUGGUUUCUAAUAUCAUUCUACAACAAAAGGAACCAGGGAUUCUUAGAGAAAUGGCUGAUUCUAGGACUGGAGCAGGAAAUACACAAGAUGGGCCUGGAGCAUCUUGUAGUGUCAGAGAGUAAGGAAGUGCUAAAAAAAAAACCCAAAAAACGGAUGGGUCAUGUCAAAGGGACACAGGAGCCACAUGGCAGAGGUCCCAACAGGCAAAGGCGGGACAACUUGAGCAGGAAAA
rnacentral:lncRNA from 1 species